rnacentral:lncRNA from 1 species
GCCUGGAGGACACUUUCGGGCAGCCCCUGGAGGUCCUGCUUGUGAGGAACCCCCUAAUUUUUCAAUAGUAGCUCUUAAAGUAAGCUGUGGGAGCCAGUCUAUGGAAGUGAGGCUGCUUUCCAGGUCAGAGGCCAUGAUAUUGGAAGCAGCUGUAUUCUGUCUGGAAGAUUUUUCAGGAGGGAGUCGGAUUGUCUUCAGUGUUGGUUUCUGGGGGUGCUGUUCUUCACACUUCUCUGAGAGCCAUUCUCAGAGAGUCUUGCUGACAGCUAUUCCAAGAGCUUCUUCAAGAAAGACUUCAAGAGCCAGGGGAUUGUGAACGAAAUCAGAAUCUUGAGUAUUAAAACAAUCCACUUGGGAUCUUCACUCCCCUGAAACUGCUGUUUUUAUCCCUGGAUGGAGAUCCUCUCUCACUUCUGGCAGCUAAGUACUGUAUCCCAUGGGAGAAAGCCUUUU